UUUUGAUCAUUGUCUAUUUGGUAUUGCUUCAGUUGAACAGAUUAGUUCACAAGACACCGGGCGUUGGCUGACAACAUUAAUGUCGCAACUUGUCUUAAGACAUGUGCACGGAGUCUUAAUCUUAAUGGACGAUGGUGACCCACCCUUAAAACAAGAACGCACUGAUUGUUUCGCAGUAAAUACGCAGGAUUGUGGAACUUUAUCUACGCGGUCUGACAAUACACCAAACACUGAUAGUUCUCGAAGUAAGAUAAUUGAACCUUUCAAUGCAGUAGUGAUCUGAUCGAUUUUUAAUUCGUUCGAUGAUUCUCAUGAGUUGUUUUAUUGCUAUCAAUAACAUUUCAUGUGUCACGGGAAUUAAUUUUGCAUAUUUUAAAACUCGACAUACUCAACAAUACAAUUAAACAACUUUUGUUACAAUAAAUGCAAAUAAAAACCAACCAAGUUCGGAAGUUAUCAGAAGAGAGUCGCGUUCAAAUGAAACCGAAUAGCUUUAGAUAAUAAUUAUUUCAAUGUAAUUUUACAUCGCAAUUAUCAUUUGACGUUUGUACAUGUGUUAACGUCAGAAUUUACAGCUCAAUGUCAGCGACAGUCUAUUGUUCAGUUGACAAAAUUAUUUAAUAAAAACGUUUUACAGAUAUGUAUUCGUUUCAAUGUCUUAUUAAUAGUUUAACGCAUGUGUGGCUUUGUUGUUUUUAUUUGAUUAUGCUUUAUAUACAGUGUUAAAUUGAAUAUUAAUUAGGUACAGAUUAAUAAAAAAUGCAAUGUGUACUACUGACGGUAGCUGUUCGUAUUCUGAGUUACUCUCUUACUCAUGAAGAAAGGAUUACUGGUGGUCUGAUGGCCUUUCUAGUUUCACUAGGACAGGUGGGCGAAUAUGGACUCAGCGAAGAGGGAUGAGAUUUGCUAACAGCAGUUCGAGCCCUCCGAAGGAAAUUUAAUAGCUCAACGGCAGCUGCUUCGUUAAUGCAUCUACUACCGGCUUGUAAUCGCGACAUUGAAGGGGCCAUGAUGAUGUUGUAAUGAGUUGGAUCUGACCAGUAUGUUCUUAACAUCAUGCCGUUUAAAGACUGAGAUGUGGUUUGCUCAUCUACAAAGUUGAUCAACUAGAUUAUUUUUAUCUAACAUAACUAUGAGAAUAUUCGAAAAUAACAAAAUGUUUGAAUCUUAAGAAUUUUCUACACAUAACUUUAACACACUAACUUAUUUUAUAAUGGUGUGACUUAACUAUUUGCACGUUCUUACCGCAAGAGUCGAUGAAUACAGCAAAUUGUAGAAGAGCUCUAAUGUCCAUGCGUCUUUAUGUGCAUAGAGAUCAUCCUUGCUUUGUUACGGUGCGGUCGUAAUACAAAAGGUUGUAAAUCUGCCGACCUUCCUCUUACUUCGCGGAUCAUGGCGAACGCACUUAUCGUUCUAAAGAUCGUGCUCACGCGCGAUUUUGUCGCGACGACUGUGAUUCAGAAAGAAAUUUUAGUACAAAAAAAUUCAAUUUUUGUGACGCUACUUGAUUAAAUUUCGUUUAUUUCAAAUUUAAAAGAUAAAUCAAACGUUCUCCAAGCAACAUCCUUAGGCUCGGAUUUUCUUCGGUGUUUCGGGUAUCAGAAUAGAUCUUUAGGAUGAUUUAGAAUUAAACCCGUAACAUAAGUAUCUGAAGACAACGUCUAGAAACUUCUUCGAGAAAGCGGCUUGGCAGGAUAGCUCACUUAGCUACGAUUAAAAUUGUCGACACAGGCGAUGGGGCAAUACAAAGCCGCCAUCGCUCUAAGCAUAUCCUAACGCCUGAUCCAUUUUCGGGAUAGGCGCUCCAAGCAAGAGUUUGACGUGUAGAGUAACCCAGAGAUUCUCGUCAGAUCAUAUCAAUGGGUCGCAUUUUCGUUUCGGCGGUUGAUUUAGCAAAACUUUGCUCUUGCUAAGACUAGUGUUAGCAAGUCCUCCCAGUUUUAGCACCGUGACCUUACCUACCAAAUCGUGCGUAACUGGAAUAGCCUCUUGGGCUAUCAACGAUUAGGUAAGGGAAAAAGGCAUCAGAAACAGCAUCUCUAAUGCAAAAUGGACAUGCAACAACCUUGUAUUGUUGAUCAACAGGGAAAUUAGACUUGAUCUUACAACACCUACAAUAUUAGGAUUACUCGUAAUAAUUACAUAAUGGUCUAGAAUUUUCUUUAUAAGAUGUUCAAACGAUAGCUUGAGGAAUAAACGUUCACUUCAAUACUGGUAAUACCACCAAAAACACUGUGCACACUACUCCUAACACAUAACGAUACGCUGUUUGGCCUUCAAGGAAAAUUGUUUAGUUAUAUUUAUACUGAACGUAGAAAUAUAUAUUAUUAUAUUUCAUUUUAAAAUACAAA